rnacentral:lncRNA from 10 species
GUCUAACAUCAGAGAUGAGCAAUUCAUGAUGCUUUUUCUUUUCUUUUUUUUUUUUUUCAGACAACUUCUUACUUUGUUGCCCAGGCUGAAGUGCAGUGAUGCGAUCACGGCUCACUGCAGCCUCGACCUCCCAGGCUCAAGCGAUCCUCCCACCUCAACAUCCCAAGUAGCUGGGACUCCAAACGCGUGCCACUAUGCCCGGCUAAGUUUUGUAUUUUUAGUAGAGAUGGAGUUUUGCCAUGUUGCCCCGGCUGGUCUCGGACUCCUGGGCUCAAGCAAUCUGCCUGCCUCUGUCUCCUGAAGUGUUGUGAUUACAGGCAUGAGCCACCGCACCUGGCCAAGAUGCUUUUUCUGUUUCUGAGAUACAAUGAACUAUAUCUUAAGAAUUCAUAAAGCCCUAAAAAGUAAAUAUUUACAACCAGAAAUCUUUCUGACAAAGAAACAAGAUUACUCAAAGUAAGUAGUAGUUUGGGCUCCCUGGAAAGAACCCAGAACUUAAGUGUCAGGAAAUGUGGAUAGUUCUGAAUGUGCCCCUGGCUGGUUGAUGACUCUGGGCAACUUAUGCAGUACCUCUAACUCAUGGUUUAUUUACCUGAAAAAUAAGUGGGUUGGCUAUGUCUGUGGUUUGAAAGGUGCUCUAUGAUGUCCCAGAUGUCUUAGCAGUGUAUCAUUGGCUGUUUUGGAGGCUGUCAGGGGUCCAGAUGGCUGCUCCCACUGAGCCUGCUUUUAACAGAGCUUUUCAGUUUGUAUUUCUUGUAUACACAAAGUAAUAUUAAAUAAAAAAAAUAUAAUCCAGCUAAGAAAGUUUGAGAAUACUGGCUUGAGAUUCAAAAUAAAAUAAACCAAAAAUUUUAGAAAUUAUAUUAGUCUAGAAAGAUAGUAUUGUGUCUCUUUGUCUUUUUAGUACCUAGCACAUAUCAGGUACUUGAUACAUAUUUAUCAUAUGAAUGCAAUGGUUGUAAUGAACAACUGGGAAGGAAAUGCAAAAGCAGAAGGCACCAUAUUUGUGUUGCUAUUCCUGGGUGUCAUUUCUAUGUAACUUGUGAUAACCAGUAGUAAAGAACAACAUGGACUAUGUUUAAUAGACAACAACUAAUUUUAUUGGAUUUGUGUACAUAAUCUGAAAUUUAGUCUAAGGACAAGCCAUAUUACUAUAAAUUCCAGGAAAUCUAGAGAGAAAAAAUGGGCAAUUUAGAACAGACUAGAAGAGUAACUCUUUCAGUUUGUCUGGAAAACCGAAUCUAAGGAAUAAGGUCAGUUUGCAGUUUCUUUCAAGUAGAAUUGGUGACUCUUGGAUGCAGUUUAUAAACACGUAACACAUUUUCCUUGCAUGGAAAUAUAUCUAUUCUAUGACCUCUUCUACAUGAAGAAAAGAUUUGAAAUUUUCUUCUCCAUUAAAUAAUGUUUUGUGUGCAUGUUGCAAAAAUAAGAGAGAAGCAAGAAUAACUCUAGCAGAUGCUUAAAGGUUUAAGAUUAAAGACACAUGUAAAUGUGAUUCAUAGUGGGUGUUCUGUGCACUUGAGUGAAUAUUCCCAAAUCACAGCUAGAAAAAUUUAGGAGUAAAUUGACUUAACUUAUGGUAAAUCAAUAGGGGUCCCUGAAUUGGAGGGAAACAGAUGAGCAAGAAAAAAAUUAUUUGACAGGACUCCACUAAGGAAAACAACAUUCAAGUAACAGAUGAGGUAUUCUACUGCCCAGAGGAAUUACCCAGCCUUUAGCAAGGCGAAGUCAGCCUCAACUGGCAGGAGGUUUGUUUUAAAACUGAAAUGAGAAAAAGGAUCUGGGCUUACAAAUGAUGGGAAGAUAUAUUAUCAACAGGGAAAAAAACCCCCAGAAAAUAGCAACUAACUUGUUUCCCCAGCACAACUGAAAGGAUGAAGAAGGAAAACAAUUUAAUGUACCCUGGUCAUGCAGUUACUUUCCUUUAUCCUUACUAACAGUGCUUGUCAAGAUGGUUCUGGAAACUGAAUAAAUGCUCUCUAUGGUGGCAAAUUAUUUCAGCACUAAAUCAUGAAGGCUGGAUUCUUGAAGCCUGGCAGAGGCAAAUGUCUCAUUAAUGCUGAUCUGAGAGACAUCUGUGAUGAGCCUGAACAUCAGGCCAAUCUGCAGAGCUGAUCAGGGGCUGCUGAGUGGUUCUGAAGUGAGUCAGGCUGUGAAUGAAGACUCCACCAGAAUGAGGAGAAUUCCAUGCAUGGAGAUUCAAAUAAAGACAAAAGGGAGAUGCAACUAUGGAGGCUGAGAAGUCCCACCAUCGGAGCGCCUCUGCCCCGCCGCCCCAUCUGGGAUGUGAGGAGCGCCUCUGCCCGGCCGAGACCCCGUCUGGGAGGUGAGGAGCGUCUCUGCCCGGCCGCCCCGUCUGAGAAGUGAGGAGACCCUCUGCCUGGCAACCACCCCGUCUGAGAAGUGAGGAGCCCCUCCGCCCGGCAGCUGCCCCGUCUGAGAAGUGAGGAGCCUCUCCGCCCGGCAGCCACCCCAUCUGGGAAGUGAGGAGCGUCUCCGCCCGGCAGCCACCCCGUCCGGGAGGGAGGUGGGGGGGGGUCAGCCCCCCGCCCGGCCAGCCGCCCCAUCCGGGAGGGAGGUGGGGGGUCAGCCCCCCCGCCCGGCCAGCCGUGCCAUCCGGGAGGGAGGUGGGGGGGUCAGCCCCCCGCCUGGCCAGCCGUGCCGUCCGGGAGGGAGGUGGGGGGGUCAGCCCCCCGUCCGGCCAGCCGCCCCGUCCGGGAGGUGAGGGGCGCCUCUGCCCGGCCGCCCCUACUGGGAAGUGAGGAGCCCCUCAGCCCGGCCAGCCACCCCGUCCGGGAGGGAGAUGGGGGGGUCAGCCCCCCCACCCGGCCAGCCGCCCCGUCCGGGAGGGAGGUAGGGGGGUCAGCCCCCCGCCUGGCCAGCCGCCCCGUCCGGGAGGGAGGUGGGGGGGUCAGCCCUCCGCCCGGCCAGCCGCCCCGUCUGGGAGGUGAGGGGCGCCUCUGCCCAGCCGCCCCUACUGGGAAGUGAGG